AGUAAAAGUUGGAAGUUAGCAUUGCAUAAUAUAAAGGUUAGAAGUUAGGUUAAAAGAACAAUCACUUAAGGAUCCUCUAUCAACAAAUCAAAGGACUCAAACAUAUGUUUCACCCUGGGAUAACCUAUCAUCAAUUCAAAGUGUCAAGAAUGAUCAAUUGAUCAUUCAUCAACAAGUUUGAAUUGAAGAAGAUUGAAUCAACCGAAGGAUAUUCAUCUAUGGAUAAUUUGAGAUGAUGAAGAUUAAUCAAUCAAGCAAUCACAAAAGAUGAACAAGGGUUGGAAUAAGAAGAAUUAAAGAGUUAGUAGUUAGAUUGUAGCGAGUUAAUAUUGCAAGCAAUAAAGGAGAUUAAAAUCAAAUUAUAAUACAAUUAAUCCAAUUAUUAUACUAAAAAAUAAAAUAAAAAUAAAAUUUCAAAAUAAAGGUAGAAUUAAAAAUGAAUUAAAAUUCAAUUAAUCAAACUAUACUACUAACAAAAUGAAAUUAAUUUCAAAAUAAAAAAAAUUAAAUUGAAAUUAAAUUAAAAUGCG
rnacentral:lncRNA from 1 species